ACAACUUAUGAAGUUCAUUAGCUCAGGGUGAUUGCUUAAGAAAAGUUUUGUCUGGAAACACUCCAUAUUCCACAUUCUGGCUGCUUCUGUAGUUGUUGUUAUUAACCCUCAAUUUAAUGGAUUUCAGUUUAACAGACUUUGGAUUUAAUGGAGAAAGCCUGCUGAAUGGGAUAUGUUUUGCUGAAGCACCAGCUGAGGCAGGGAAGUUGCUGGGAAAAUCAAGUGAGCAGACAGAAUGCAUUGAGACAUUAGUGGUGGCAACUAAGAGAAGAGAUGGAAGUCCUUGGGACAAUGGGGGGGGGCGCUCUGAUAUAUGCCAUGCUGGGAGCUGCUGAGAGGAAAGGGGGGGGGCAACAUACUCUUUUAUUGCUACAAUACUCCUGUAAGGUUGGUUGGGCUGAGAUGGUGAGUAGCCCUAAAUCACCCAGUGAGCUGCAUUGCCAAGUGGGAUCUUGAACCUCAGUGCUCCCAGUCCUUCUGUACCAAUGUUGAGGUAUCAUCAGAGAAAGCACCAUGUUAUCAUUAGAGUGGUGGCAUGGCAGGUACAAAGGCUAAAGGUGGCAAGGUCAAAAACAAAGAGCUAAAGACCAGAGAUGGGUGUGGUUCAGGUGUUAACAGGACGUGGUUCAGGUGCCCUUCCCUUCAGAGACCAAGAAACAAGGGGCAAGAAGUCUGUUACCAAAUAAAAGUGGAAGAAAAAGACCUAAGAUUUAAACCCUGAAGCGAUUAUGUACAGCAGGCUGGAUGCUAGAUCUGUAGUAGCUGCUCCUCAUUAUUAGGACUUCCUGUGUCUGCAAAAAAGCAACUUCCUUUCGGUCAUAGUUAAGACGUUUCAGGCACAUGAUCCCAUAAUGAAGGCUCACCCUUGGAAGAUAUAUCAGAAGUUACACCUGAGAAAUGGCAAAUGGCUCACUAUGGGAUCAUCUAUUAAGUUGAGCCACUUACACAUAUCUGGGCAUCUCCUUCUUUGCUGGGAUCAUCUAGGCCGGAUCGGCGUCGAGCAAGCUGUUCUCGAAGAGAAAGAGACUGCAAACAGGAAGGAGAGCUGCCUAGAAAAGAUACAGGCAGGACUUAGGAGAAGGGAAUGCAUUUACCUCAGUCAAAGAGAUCUAUUUCAAGGAUCUAUUCAAGGGCCAGUCCCUACUACAAAUCACAACUCCUGAAGCUGAGCCCUGAGGAAACCUGGAACAAACCUUGCCAACAGAGAAACAGAAAGCAGUACAGAUCAGAAGUGAGCCUCCAUGCCUGUCCCUCACCUCAAGCCAACAAAAGAGCUCACCAAAGAAAACUGGGGAGUGCUGAGGCCUUACCAUAUCUUGCUGCAUAUUUAGGCUCACCGCAUACAGCCCCCUUCUUUUUCUCCAAGACUAAGAGCCCAUGGAGCAGCUGUAGAAAUCUACAGGUAAGACAGAGCAGUGGCCUACCCAAAAUGAUCGGGCAGGUGAAACUACAGAGCCCAGGAUGACAUUUUUGUUGAGUGCAUUCCACAGUUCAGCAGAUAACUCUGACAUGGACUUCGACAUUUAUUUGGCACACAAGAACCAAGUACUGUACUAGGAACUUGCAAAAGAAGAAAAUAUAUGUAGCUCAGGGUUGAACUGUGGAGUCCUUGGUGCUCUCUGAGCUUGGUUGGCAAGCUCAGAGGGCACUAAGGACUCCCCAAUAUGAACUUACACACAACUAUGGCAAUUGCAGCUCAUGGGGAAGUCUAUGGCAAGAUGAUUCAUACAGCCUCUCUUCUUCAGACUUGCAGACAGGAAUAAGCAAAAGUGGAUUAGAAAGGCCCUAAAAGCAAAAUCAUAUCAUCAAUACUAAAUGUUUAUGUAUGCUAGUAUGUCGACACAUUGAAAAACAUAGAAUUACACUUGAAACAUGAAAGGAGACAUUCACAUAAUCUCUCACUCUUUUUUAUUCUAAAGCCAACAAGCUUUUAAUCCUCAUGACUAUAGAGCAUAGAGAAGAUUCAAGAAAUACAGAGGACAAUUCUAUCUGGUAGAAUUACUCUUGCACAGUGUUCAUUCACUCAGUAACUGCAUCUUCCUGUUUGUCAACCCACCCCAGCAGGCAAACAAUCUAGAGACUUUUUCCUAUAGAAUUAUGAGGGGGAAAAACCAGCAAAACCAACCCAAAUUAUGCUAACCUAACUUAAAAGCAGUAUAACAUGAAUUUAUUGUGAGUGAGAAAAUUGAAUAUAUUUGGAACUUAAUAUAGAAUUUCAUCAUAUUCACACUUAGCCUAUAAAUGCCUUCACACACUGCUAGGAUUGGGGCAGGGGCGGAGGUGCUCAAAUUAUGCUUGUGCAAUAGUGCCAACUUCCAUUUGCCUCUACCAGAACAUCUUUGCCUGCCACAGCUUAGGGUGGAUUCACACAUAGCCAUAUGGCAGAACAAAGAUAGCACCUGUCAAACCCAGGAGCAGUCUUCCUAUUUAUUUGUGAGUUUACAACUGGGAAGUGUAUCUUGGAACAUGUCAACAAAAUCAGGGUCACUGCAGAGGUAUAAAAACAGAAGAGCCCAGGUGGAUCCGGCCAAGAGCUCAUCUUAGUUCAAUAUUCUGUACCACACAAGGGCCAGGCAAGUGCAUUUGAGAAGCUCAAAAGUAGGAUCGAAGGGCAAUCUUCUUCUUCCAUUGUUGCUCUC